GAUGAACGCUGGCGGCGUGCCUAACACAUGCAAGUCGAACGAAGCACCUUGAUUUCCUCGGAUUGAUAGGUGACUGAGUGGCGGACGGGUGAGUAACGCGUGGGUAACCUGCCUCAUACAGAGGGAUAACAGUUAGAAAUGGCUGCUAAUGCCGCAUAAGCGCACAGUACCGCAUGGUACCGUGUGGAAAACUCCGGUGGUAUGAGAUGGACCCGUGUCUGAUUAGCUAGUUGGUAAGGUAACGGCUCACCAAGGCGACGAUCAGUAGCCGGCCUGAGAGGGUGAUCGGCCACAUUGGGACUGAGACACGGCCCAA
rnacentral:rRNA from 1 species